rnacentral:lncRNA from 1 species
AUGAGGGCUGCACAUGCUGACGGGAUGAGUCUGCGGGCAGCAGGAGCAGAACACUCACGGGUAACCAUCACCUCAUUCCUGUCAUUCCCACUGCUUAUCAGGAACCAAAACAGCAUGAAAAGCAAGUGUCCUGGAGGAAGAAAAAGGCGCUUAGGACAACAAACAAGGCUGCUGCUUUCCAGGGAAGGAGGACAUGAGGAAACGCUACAGACUAAGAGAAGGAACAAGGCCAUGUGUGCAGACUCAUGCUUUCCAUGGGCCAAGGUUGUGCAUACAGCCACAGGAAAGAGAAGGCAGUAAAAGGCUGCAAGGAAGCAGCUGAGCGGGACUUUCUGCCUUUCUAAUUUCAGAGAGAAAUACCCAUCCACAGAAUCUCGUGGAGGAGACAGCCCCACGUAUCACCUGGAUACUAAACCUGACACCUUGGAAGCACUCAGCUCUCCAGUAGAACAACUGUGUUCGCACUUCCUACCAACUCAAGUACACCUCCACGUUCAAAUGAAAUAAGAUCCUCUCAGCAAUGUGGCUUCAAAUGCCCAGGGAAUUAGUCAUAAAGAUUCUAGUUCUUUGAUGUGCAUAAAGCCAUCAAAAUUUUGUUUUGCUUUGGUUGUUUUUGUUUUUUUUUUUCUUUUUUUCCUUUUAAAACCUGAUAUUACUAACAGUGCUGGGAAUCAAGUUGCUGGGAUUUUUGUUUGUUAUUUUAAGAUAGGAAAGCUGUCACAUAAACCCAGUCAAUUGCCAGGCCCGGAAAUAAUGCUUUGCAAGCAGUGAAAGGAAACUCAAAUAACUCCCUGCCCAACAUUGCUUUCUAGUUCAUCUGUCAUAAAAACAGCAGAGAGCAGCUCAAAGCCAAAAGACUUUUUUUCUUUGCUUUGUUUUAGCUCUAGCAGCACAGAAAGGUGAUAUCACUGCAUAUUGUAACCAAGCAAAUGAGUAAUGAAAGUGCAAGCAAAUACAUUAAAUAGCACAGGCUUAAAUAAAAGGUGUGAUAAUCGUUUGCUUUGUUUUGCU